CUCAAACUCUUUUUAACACAAAAUCCAUCUGAGUGCAAACUCAACUUCACUACAAACCCUUCUCUUACUGCAAACCGUUCUUCACCGGAAAUGUCUUUGUCAUACACUUCUCACCGCAUGACUCCAAAAUUGACUAAACCCACAAAUAAUUUCCUCCUAUGUAGAAUCCCUUCAUUUCACUUCCUCUUCAAGUUCUCACUACUUCCCCGUUCCUCUCAUUUCCCGACACUCUCUUUCUCUCUCCCAUUCACUAUCUGUGACCAACUCUCUGAUUAGAGCAUCGUCGAUAUGCCCCUCUUCAUCUCGGACGAAGAGUUCUUACUGUUAUCCGGCGACACAAGCGCCAUAACCCUAAAAGCACGAAGGAAUUAAUAUCAACUAAAGAUGAUGAUGCAACCAACAAAGAGAAAUUUUCUGCUGAACUUUCAAUUGUUCAUCCUCGUCAAAUUGAUUCACACUCGCAUGUUGUUAAAGAAAGAUGAUGAAUGAGACUUUAUACAAAUACUCGAUAAAUAUGACUGGUCCAACAAUCCCAUGCAUCUCUUUUUUUUUCAUAAACAACUCUUAUAUAAAGAUUAGGAGUACUAGGGGUACUCCAACCCUAUACAAGAAAAAAAGGAGAACAAAUUAAAGUUACAAUCGUCAUGCACACAAUGGAGGGUUUUUAUACCACUCAUAGAAGUUACAAUUGAUACUUCCUUUUGAAGUUGAAACAAUCCACCACCAAGAAUGCCACUGUAUCUUGUAAAAUACCUCCUCAAGAUCAAACUUUGCAUUGUUGAAGAUUAUGUCAUUUCUCAUCUUCCAAAUACACCAGCAAAUUGUUAACCAUAAAGUUGCAGCCCUGUUACACUUCAGUUUGCCCUUCAAUUGUUCUAUCCAAUUCAUCAAAUUUCCGCAGCAAUCCAAUACGGUUUGCAUCUGAGUAUCAAUCCACAAUAGAAUUCUACUCUUCAAAGAAGCUAAUUUAGAACAGUGCAUGAACACAUGAUCUAAAUCUUCUACCUGCAAUUCACA